CAUGAAUUCAAAAGGUGAUUACUCACUAAUCUCCAUGAUUCCUCUUAAACCCAUGGUGGAUUUCAGAUUAAUCAUGUAGAGAAAUAGAUAAGAAAUCAACAAGAACACAAGAUGAGAGCAAUGAAAUCUGAAUCAAAAGAAGUUUUACUAGUUGUUCUCUAGAAAAAAGAUUGUCUGCCUCCCCUCGCUUUUCAAGUACUUAACUUAGGUUUAGGCAAUGUAAAACAACAAAACAAAUGACCAAAAGGCCCCUGAAAUAACAUAAAAAUCGUCCAAGCAAAACACGCGGAGCGACCUAGCAUAGUUGCUCCCAGGAGGUCGCUCCCGACGCGUUUCUUCGUGUCUCGCCCCGUCAAAACGCGAGCGACUUGAGCUGGUCGCUCUGGCUGGGAGCGACCUACCAAGGUCGCUCUGAGAGGUCGCUCCAGGAUGCUCGAUUUUGGUGUCUCCGGACGAGGGAACGCGAGCGACCUUGGUGUGUCGCUCCAACAAGUCGCUCUGAACAUCGGGAGCGACUUCGGCACGUCGCUCUGGGAGGUCGCUCCAGGGUCAAAUAUGUGUGUCUCCGGACGUGAAAAAGCGAGCGACUUCGUGCGGUCGCUCUGGGAAAGUCGCUCCGGGAUGUGGUGCACAGCGACUUCAUGUAGUCGCUCCGGGAAGUCGCUCCAGGCAGUGCUCGUCCAAAGAUCACUCUAAUCACCUCCUUUGAGCUCCAAAUGCACCCCAAAUGUCUCCAGGAACUCCAUGUGGUACUCCAAUACCUAAUAGAGACAUAUGUAUGCAAAAUGCAACCUAGACAUGGCUAAAUCCUAAUCUAUAUGAUGAAAAUGCACAUAAAUAAAUGGAUAAAACAAUGCAAAUAUGCAAAAUAUCAAUAACAUAAAUGACAAUUUAAACAAUGUUAAAAAUACAUUGGAUUUUGUAUAUUGGAAAUAUAGUAUGUGUUUUGUAUUUUGGGGUUUUAGUGUAUAUCAUUUUAUUUGUUUUAGCUUUUAUACUUUAUAUGCAAACUGAAAUCUUUUAUUUUUGCAUAAGAUAUAGAAUUCACAAAAAUGUAUCGUGGUUCUUUGUCUAAAAUGUUACCACAGUUUGCGUAAAAAUCCUCACAGCAAUGCGGAAAGGACGACAUAUUAAUCCAAACAUUCCAAAAACGAUGAGUUAAUUAUGGCAACAUCAAACGAUACUGCAAUAAACUUUAACAAAUAACGUAAAAACAUAACAAUAGUGAUUAAACAAAACAUAACAAUAAUGAAUACAUAAAAAGUACUAGUAGUCGUAAAGAAAAAAAUUGCAUGCACAAGUUUGUAGAUGAAGAAUGAUCUGAAAUUUAAACAAUAAAGUUUAGAACAUCAUCACAUAACCUAAUUACAUCAUACUUUCGGUCGUUACACACAUAUCAUUAUAUUCUCUUACACAUGUAAAUGUACUUCUAUCAAAAAAUAAUUGACAAACCAACAUAGAAAAAUCAAAUUUGAAAUCACUUUUUACUUCCGAAAUAUAGCAAUCCUAUAUUAACAACAUCACAAAAGUGAAUGUAAAGUAAAUUCACUACAAAAAAAAAAGGCUUUAAUAGCAACAGAGGAUAAAGUUUUUUACAUUUCUGCUAUGGUUAACAUACCCGUUAGUUUUAUAUAGCGUUUGUAAAUUUGGAAACACUAUGAUAGAAUUAUAUAUUUAAAAACGCUAUGAUAGCGUAUUUUUAAUAGCACAUUAUUAAAAACUUUAUCUUUGAAUUUUAAAUCUCUAAACCCUAAACGAGUUUUUAAACCCUAAACUCUAACACAUAACUUCAAAAUCUAACUAUUUUAAUAUCAAAUCUUAAAUUUAACCUCAAAUAUUAAAUAUAAACUCAAAGCUAUUUCUUUUUCGAUAAUUAAUUUUAAAUCUCAAUACCCUAAACCUUUAACCCUCAAACCCUAUACUCAAACCUUUAUUUUAAACUCAUAACUUUAAAUCUAAAAUCUAAAUUAAAAAAAAAUCAAACUUAAAUCUUAUUCUUUAAAUAAAUUCAAAUUUAUUUUCGAAUUUUAAUUUAAAAUCUUAACCUUGAACUCUAAACCUUAUAUACUCAAAUCCUAUAUCAUAAUAAACCUUGAACCUUCAAUUUACACAUUUAAUUAUUAAACUGAAUCAUAAACCACAAAUCUAAUAUUCUCAAAGUUAAACACCAAAAUUUAAGCAUACAUUUUAAAAUUUUAAUUUAUUCAAAUUUUAAACCUUUAAACUAAUUUCAUUUACUAUACUCUUCUGUUUUAAACCUUUAAACUAAUUUCAUUUUACAUUUAAAGUAAAUCAUAACUUAUAAAUAAUUUUAAAAUUUUCAAUCUAUUAUUUGGAACAUUGACACCAAACUAUAAUUACAUUAAUUAUAUAUAAUUUUUGGUCAAAAUUAUAUAUACAUAUUUAAAUUAAUUAUUAUAUUAAAUGAAAAACAAUUUUCUAAUGGAUUAAUUUUGGCUUUUGAUUGAUUUCAAUCCAAAGGCCACAAAUUAAUGUUUUGUUUAUUUUUUCCUUCUUUCUCAUUGGUCUAUAUCUCAAACACAAGGAUAUCAAUCUUGACCACUAAGUAGUUUUGAUCAUGUGGCUAGAAAUCACACAUCUCACAUCUCUAUCUCUUCCUUUCUUCGUUGUCUCACGAUAUCUCUCUCUUUUUUUUUUGGUUACAGAUCUAAAUCUAAUCUCAUCUAAAUCUUUUUUAAUCCUUUGGAUCUCUAUCUUCCUCAAUCACCAUCACCACCACACGAUAUCCGUUUGUUCGCCGUCCCAGCAUCACAACCACCACCAUACGAGCUCCGUUUGUUCGCCGUCCCAGCAUCACAACCACCACCACACGACCUCCGUUCGUUCGCCGCCCUAGCAUCACUACCACCACACAACCAGUGAAUGGAGGAAGCAAGGCAAGGCAGGCAUGGCGGCUGGAGGAGGCAAGCUCAAAAUUUCGAUAAAGAUGAGAGACUGAUGAAGAUGACGGCUUCAGAUUCAAGAGGAGGAAGCCGACGGCGAGCUGGUGAUGAGGCGAUGAGAUUAGGUUUAGAUGGAUGCGACGACAAGUGCGGCGGGGUUUAUUUAGUAAUUAGGUUAAAGCUUGGUUUAGUUUUUAGUUUUUGGUUUUUGGUUUAGCUUUUGGUUUAUUUGGUUUGUUGGUUUAUUAUUUAAUUAGAUUUAUUUUUGUAUUUUUGUAAACCAAUUUAAUUAUUAUAGAUAGAUUUAAGUAAUAAAGAAAAUUUGAUUCUAUGAAUAAUUUUAAAUUUUAAUUA